CGCGUCUGCAACCUACACUACAGCUCACGGCAACGCCGGAUCGUUAACCCACUGAGCAAGGGCAGGGAUCGAACCCGCAACCUCAUGGUUCCUAGUCGGAUUCGUUAACCACUGCGCCACGACGGGAACUCCAUAAUGUAUGUAUUUUAGAUUUAACUAGCUGGAAUUUGUGUCUUCUUCGAAUACACUGUCUUAUUUCUACUCUAGUUUCCACAAAUGUUGUAUAUCUCUCAGAACAGUGUUCUUUUCACGAACACUUGACAUUACUUGUCACUGGGUUUCAUAUCCAUUUUGUUUUCCCUUGAAUAAUUUCUCUGGAUUUAAUUUACUUAAACAGUUUAAAUUUGAAGUAUUACAAAAGAGUAGAUUUAAUUUUUGUUACAUAUAAAAUUAAAUAGAUUUUGGUAGGAGGGCUUUGGUUUUUUUUUUUUUUUCUGUGUUUUUGUUUUGGGGGCGAUUUUUGGCCCAAAAUUAAUAUUAUAUUUAUUACCUUUAAAAACACAUGCCUUUAAUUAAUAAAAUUGACUAAAAGUAAGUUAAGAUGCUCAUCAAACCCAUUAAAAGGCCUUAUAUGUUUUAAAUUUGUUUUAGAUAAAUACCAGAAAAGAUUCUUUAUCCAUACUGGUUAAGGCAUAAAGGAGACAAAAUUGACAGAGGCAGUCCAUAUGAUAUUGCAAUUCUGACAGUUUAUAAGAACUCAUGAACUUCAACUUACAACUAUUUGAAACUUUUAAGAAUUGAAUUUUUUUUUUUUUUGUCUUUUUGUCUUUUUUUGUUGUUGUUGUUGUUGUUGUUGUUGCUAUUUCUUGGGCCGUUCCCGUGGCAUAUGGAGGUUCCCAGGCUAGGGGCUGAAUCGGAGCUGUAGCCACCAGCCUACGCCAGAGCCACAGCAACGCGGGAUCCAAGCCGCGUCUGCAACCUACACCACAGCUCACGGCGACGCCGGAUCGUUAACCCACUGAGCAAGGGCAGGGACCGAACCCGCAACCUCAUGGUUCCUAGUCGGAUUCGUUAACCACUGCGCCACGACGGGAACUCCAAGAAUUGAAUUUUUUUUAAUAAACUGUCAGUACACACAUUCAUAUACUUGAAAAAAAAUCAGACUCAGCUAGAUGGAUUGAUGACCACAUAAGAAAUGAAAACGUUGAAAAAUACAUUUAAGUUGUUCCCUAUGUUUAAUAUUUGACAGUUGUUUAAUCACCAAUCACUCAUUAGCUAAAUAUACCAUAUUCCAUAUUCUUAUUUCAAUAUUCCAGAGUUUUCAGUGAAAAAAGUAAGUAUGGAACUGCACAGGGGAAUACAUUUUCUGAAAUAUCGAAUGCUAUUAUUACUGACAACUGUAUUAAUACUUGAAAUCCAUGACAUGAACUCUAAAAUAAAAUUGUAUAUUAAGGCUUAAGUAUGGAUAUAUACGUAAUCACCUUCCUCAAUAAUAUGCUACAACAUUAUAAUGCACUUUAAUUUGCGAAGCAUGUUCUUUUGUACCUGUUAGCUCUACAACUAUAGCUCAAAAGAGAAUUUAUUCUUAUAAUCAGGUCAAGGUAUGCAUUAAUUCUUCAGUGCCAUUUUAUUUAAAUGACACAUUAUAACAUUUAAAUAAUUAAUAUUAUCUUUGGCCUAUAGCUAGAAGCAUGGCUUGAGUUUUAAUGAAAUUGAGCAAAGCAAUGUUAUAAUAAAAAAAGGAUUUAAAUAUAUUGUUUUCUUUAAUUCCUGCAUUUUUCAUUCUUUGAGUUUGUAUUCUUCGCCUUGCAUGAUAGAUUUACAACCCUGUAGCUAUUAAUAUAAUAUUCAUAUUGUACAGGGAAUAAUGCAAUGAAAAACAUGUGAAAUGGUGAGUGUGUUUAAGAGCCUCACAGGGACAUUUACAGCUAUCUUCUUAGAAAUAAAAGUUUAUUUUAUUUUUUUGUAGCCUCUAGUUUUGUAGCAAUUCAAUCUGUGAAGGUCCCAUUCUCACUGGGCAAGUAACCUUGAUAUCUCAUACAAAAGCAGGUCAUUUAUACAUUUUGCACAGAAUGCACUGUCACAGGCCUCAUAAAUAUCAAUACAGUCAUUUGAUUUAAUUUAAAUAAUGUGCAACUGCCUUUGUAGAAUUGGAUUUAUUUUUUGAGUCCUUGUACCAGAUAUAACAAAGAAGCCACUUAAUAUAAAAAAUGUGAUAUUCUUGCAGAUUUUUGCUUAUGUGAUAAUAGUACAAAGGAAAAAUGCUCAGGGUCUCAGGUUCCAGAGGGAAUGUAGUAAAAGGAAGACGAUGAUGGUUAAAUGUACCUCCUCACAUUUACUCAGUUGUUUUAAAUACCAUUUGAUACUUGUUAGGUAUUUUUGUUCUUUCUUAACCUCAAUAUUUGACUGUAGCAAACUAAUUUUUUGCUUUCUUCAUCUUUAGAUCUUAAAUUUGCUUCUUCUACUUGUCAGAACUCUUGUUUGAUCCUGAUAAUAUCAUCCUUCUUAUAUUGCUAGAUAUUUUUAGCUGAUUUUUCUAGUCAGCUAAAAAUAUUUCUUUCUUCUAAAUAAAAAUUAACAGCAAAUGAUUCUUAUUAAAACACUAUUUUAAUUAAAUAAUUUUCUAUUCAUACUAAGCAGCAAAUAAUCCUCUAAAAUAUUUAAAAAUCAAACAAUAUUCCUUAUUGUCCCCAAAUAUAUAUAUAUACACACAGAUGUGUAUAUAUAUACACACACACAAUACACACACACACACACAUAUAACAUUCCUAGACUCUCCUAGAUUUUCAAUAAUUAUUAGGCAGUCCAAAAAUGGGAGAGAAGAAACAGAUCUGCAGCAAUAACAUGCAAUGACAUUAUUAACAAUAAAACAUAUUUUAGAAAGGGAAAACAAAAAUAUGUUAGAAAACAAAAUUAUGAAAACACCAAAAAAUUGUAAAAUAGGCCUCAGAGGAGUAACCUAAGAAAGUAGCACAAAUGUCUUUCCCUACCAUCUUGGUUCCAAUGGUAGAUAUUACCACUAUUUACCAAUAUGUAGUUCUCCUCUAUUUCUAGGCAUACUGGAAAAUAAGUUAUCUUGACAAGAUGUGAUAAAGUUAUGUGCUCUUCCCAAUGAAGCCUGAAGGGCAGAGUACCAAGUGGUACUUGCAGGAGGGGCAUUUAGCAGGUUCAGUGAUAGAAAUCUACAGAGCGUAGGGAAGACAUAAACAUUGGUGUUUCUAAGAUAUUGACAUUUCGGGGUUAUUGCAUCCUAUACAGGCUGAAACAGUACUCUGAAGUUUACUUUCCAGCUCCCAACUAAGAGAAAAUAUAUUUUCAUUGCUUUACCUAUUUGUUUUGAACUGGAAUCUGUGUAUAAAAUAUAUGUGCAAUGACAUCAGAUAAUACACCUUAGAGAGAGUAAACUGUGUAGAACUUUUAGAAUCCCUUAUUCCUAAAGUGAUAAUAUCUGACUUAAAACCUAUAUGUUAUAAAGAAUCUAGAUGGCACCCACAAAAAAAGCCUUAUUCAACCAAAUGUUUUGUAACCGAUGUCACAUACUAUUAUUUCAUUUUCUUUCUUUCUGUCUUUCUUUCUUUCUUUCUUUCUUUCUUUCUUUCUUUCUUUCUUUCUUUCUUUUCUCGUACUUUUUAGGGCUGCACCCGAGGCAUAUGGAAGUUCCCAGGCUAGCGGUCUAAUUGGAGCUGUAGCCACCGGCCUAUGCCACAGCCACAGCAAUGCCAGAUCCAAGCUGCAUCUGUGACCUACACCACAGCUCACGGCAACCCUGGAUCCUUAAUCCACUGAUGCCAGAGUCAAACCCGAAACCUCACGGUUCCUAGUUGGAUUCGUUUCCACUGUGUCAUGAUGGGAAAUCCUGUUAUUUCAUUUUCAUUUGUGUACCCGUUAUUUAUAUGAGAAAAACUUGUUAAAUUUGAAAAAUCAUAAAAUGGCAUGAUGAAUUUUAGAUAUUCCCUAUUAACUAGCAAGGUAAAUCAUAAAUCUUGUUUCUAGUGCUUCGGUCUUAGAUUGAGUCAAAUAUUUUCGAAGCCUUUUUAUCAAUAAGGACUGAAUCGGAAACCCCAGUAAUUCACUCCUUAAACACAAAUUAAUUGAGGUGUUAUGAGCACAAAAUAAGCUAUAAAGUUUUCAGAAAGAGUAAAUAAGAAGAGGAGAUAAAAAUAUAGUAUAAGUUGGUUGACACUUAAACACCAAAAUUAUGUUUGACUUAUUUUAUAUACAUCAAUGGAGGAAAUAUUUCUAUUAUUAUCUUAUUUGUUAGGAGAAAAUUAUACCUGCACACUUAAUAGAAAAAUCUGUAUGUUUCUACCCUAUAAACUCUAAGGAAAAAGAAAUAAUAUAUAGAAAUGUUUUAAGUUCUUCAUUUUAACAUGAAAAAAUAAAAUUGCCAUAAAUGAGAUAAUAUUUGUUAAUAAGUAAUAAAGUUGAGUUGAUUUAUAUAUAGUUUCCUUAAAAUAGGCAUAUUUAGGCAAUAUUUUAGUCUUAGUACUUGGAGACAAGCAAUCUAAAGUUUGCUUGCCUGGUUAAAAUGGUAUAAUUUUAUUUUCCAAGUGUGUGAUUUUGGGGACUAUACGUCACAUCCCUACUUCACAGUUCCCUAAUGUGUUAAAUGGGGCUAAUUCGAGUACCAACUUCACAUAGCCAUUUAGAGAAUUAAAUGGACUGAAACAAGCAUGAUCCUUAAAGCAGAGUUUAUUAUAUGCUCAAUAUAUAUUAAUUACUGAUAUUGGUAUUUUCUGAGCUGAAGGAUUAUGGUGAGUGGUGUUUCACAAGUGGAUGUUUCAAUGGCUAUUUAAAGGCUUAAAGCUGUCCUUUCAUAUUGCCUAAUUCUCUUCAAGAGAAUAUGGAUUUUAUAAUAAUCGCAAGGAACUGAUGGUCAGCUGCAGCAUUUUAUACUUAUGAUCAAAGUUUUUCAAUACUGAUCUAUCACUGGUAUUGAUCUUUUUCAGUCACACCUGAGACAUGCAGAGGUUCCUGGGUCAGGGACUGAAUCCACACCACAGCAGUAACCAGAAUCACAGUGACAAUGCCAUAUCCUUAACUCACUGAGCUACCAGGGAACUCACUGGCAUUAAUUUUUAAAAAUUUCUUUUAAAAGGAAUGAAAAUAAAAAUUUGAGCACUGGAAUUAAAAUUAUACUGAAGAGGUAUCUAUGCAAUCAACUGUUUCCUCUACCAUCCCUUCUUUUUAAAGAUUGUCUUUGGAUUCUCUUGUUGGCCCAGCAAGUCAUGGAUCUGGUGUUGUCACUGCAGUGGCUUGGGUCAUUAUUGUGGCACAAGUUUGAUACCUGGCCCAGGAACCUCCACAUGUCACAGGUGCAGCCAAACAAAAAAAAA
rnacentral:lncRNA from 1 species